CUAACCUACUAAAUAGAUGGUUGAUCUAUUGUGAACCAGACUUCUUAGAGGGACAAGCAGCAAUUAGCUGCAUGAGAAAGAGCAAUAACAGGUCUGUGAUGCCCUUAGAUGUCCGGGGCUGCACGCGCGCUACACUGAAGGAAUCAACAUGCCUCUACCUAGCUCGAAAGAGUCAGGUAACCCGUUGAAACUCCUUCGUGAUUGGGAUAGGGACUUGCAAUUAUGGUCCUUGAACGAGGAAUUCCCAGUAAGUGUGGGUCAUCAGCUCGCGCUGAUUACGUCCCUG
rnacentral:rRNA from 1 species